UAUUAAGUGGCCUAAUGCGGAAGAUUGCGAACAAAUUGCAAAUGAUUUUCAACAGCGUUGUAAUUAUCCAGAUGUGAUUGGUGCUAUUGACGGUUGCCACAUAACUUGUAAAAUACCCAAGGAGCAGCAUGACAGUUAUCAGGAUCGCAAGUUUUGCCAUUCCAUUACCCUUCAAGGAGUGUGUAUUUCCUCCAGAUUAUUUACUAAUAUUUCUGUUGGUUAUCCAGGAUCUGUGCAUGAUGCACGAUUUUGUAGAUACUUAGAGAAUCGGACUUGGGAAAAAUCUGUGAAACUAACUGUUUCAAUCUGUUUUACGGUAGAUACCACUUGGUGGGAGAUUCCGCAUAUCCAUUAAGGUCAUGGUUAAUAACUCCGUAUAGGAACACUGGAAUUAUGCCGCUGCAACGGAAACACAACUACGCACAUAGUGUGACACGGGUUGUAAUCGAAAAUACUUUCGGCAUGUUGAAAGGCCGUUGGAGGAUUUUAAAUUUUGUUAAUGUAUAUACCAUUGAAAAGGCUAUUGAUAUUAUAACCGCAUGUUGUAUACUGCAUAAUUUUUG